rnacentral:rRNA from 1 species
GACGUAGGGCGCGAGCGUUGUCCGGAUUUAUUGGGCGUAAAGAGCUCGUAGGCGGCUUGUCGCGUCGUCUGUGAAAUCCCGCGGCUCAACUGCGGGUCUGCAGUCGAUACGGGCAGGCUAGAGUUCGGUAGGGGAGACUGGAAUUCCUGGUGUAGCGGUGAAAUGCGCAGAUAUCAGGAGGAACACCGGUGGCGAAGGCGGGUCUCUGGGGCCGAUACUGACGCUGAGGAGCGAAAGCGUGGGGAGCGAACAGG